AGCGUACACGGUGGAUGCCCUGGCAGUCAGAGGCGAUGAAGGACGUGCUAAUCUGCGAAAAGCGUCGGUAAGGUGAUAUGAACCGUUAUAACCGGCGAUGUCCGAAUGGGGAAACCCAGUGCAAUUCGUUGCACUAUCGUUAACUGAAUACAUAGGUUAACGAGGCGAACCGGGGGAACUGAAACAUCUAAGUACCCCGAGGAAAAGAAAUCAACCGAGAUUCCCCCAGUAGCGGCGAGCGAACGGGGAGCAGCCCGGAGUCUGAAUCAGCUUGUGUGUUAGUGGAAGCGUCUGGAAAGUCGCACGGUACAGGGUGACAGUCCCGUACACGAAAAUGCACAGGUUGUGAACUCGAAGAGUAGGGCGGGACACGUGGUAUCCUGUCUGAAUAUGGGGGGACCAUCCUCCAAGGCUAAAUACUCCUGACUGACCGAUAGUGAACCAGUACCGUGAGGGAAAGGCGAAAAGAACCCCGGCGAGGGGAGUGAAAAAGAACCUGAAACCGUGUACGUACAAGCAGUGGGAGCACCUUCGGGUGUGACUGCGUACCUUUUGUAUAAUGGGUCAGCGACUUAUAUUCUGUAGCAAGGUUAACCGUAUAGGGGAGCCGCAGGGAAACCGAGUCUUAACUGGGCGUUAAGUUGCAGGGUAUAGACCCGAAACCCGGUGAUCUAGCCAUGGGCAGGUUGAAGGUUGGGUAACACUAACUGGAGGACCGAACCGACUAAUGUUGAAAAAUUAGCGGAUGACUUGUGGCUGGGGGUGAAAGGCCAAUCAAACCGGGAGAUAGCUGGUUCUCCCCGAAAGCUAUUUAGGUAGCGCCUCGUGAACUCAUCUUCGGGGGUAGAGCACUGUUUCGGCUAGGGGGUCAUCCCGACUUACCAACCCGAUGCAAACUACGAAUACCGAAGAAUGUUAUCACGGGAGACACACGGCGGGUGCUAACGUCCGUCGUGAAGAGGGAAACAACCCAGACCGCCAGCUAAGGUCCCAAAGUCAUGGUUAAGUGGGAAACGAUGUGGGAAGGCACAGACAGCCAGGAUGUUGGCUUAGAAGCAGCCAUCAUUUAAAGAAAGCGUAAUAGCUCACUGGUCGAGUCGGCCUGCGCGGAAGAUGUAACGGGGCUAAACCAUGCACCGAAGCUGCGGCAGCGACACUAUGUGUUGUUGGGUAGGGGAGCGUUCUGUAAGCCGUUGAAGGUGUGCUGUGAGGCAUGCUGGAGGUAUCAGAAGUGCGAAUGCUGACAUAAGUAACGAUAAAGCGGGUGAAAAGCCCGCUCGCCGGAAGACCAAGGGUUCCUGUCCAACGUUAAUCGGGGCAGGGUGAGUCGACCCCUAAGGCGAGGCCGAAAGGCGUAGUCGAUGGGAAACAGGUUAAUAUUCCUGUACUUGGUGUUACUGCGAAGGGGGGACGGAGAAGGCUAUGUUAGCCGGGCGACGGUUGUCCCGGUUUAAGCAUGUAGGCUGGUUGUCCAGGCAAAUCCGGAUAAUCAAGGCUGAGGUGUGAUGACGAGGCACUACGGUGCUGAAGUAACAAAUGCCCUGCUUCCAGGAAAAGCCUCUAAGCAUCAGGUAACAUCAAAUCGUACCCCAAACCGACACAGGUGGUCAGGUAGAGAAUACCAAGGCGCUUGAGAGAACUCGGGUGAAGGAACUAGGCAAAAUGGUGCCGUAACUUCGGGAGAAGGCACGCUGGUGUGUAGGUGAAGUCCCUGCGGAUGGAGCUGAGACCAGUCGAAGAUACCAGCUGGCUGCAACUGUUUAUUAAAAACACAGCACUGUGCAAACACGAAAGUGGACGUAUACGGUGUGACGCCUGCCCGGUGCCGGAAGGUUAAUUGAUGGGGUUAUCCGUAAGGAGAAGCUCUUGAUCGAAGCCCCGGUAAACGGCGGCCGUAACUAUAACGGUCCUAAGGUAGCGAAAUUCCUUGUCGGGUAAGUUCCGACCUGCACGAAUGGCGUAAUGAUGGCCAGGCUGUCUCCACCCGAGACUCAGUGAAAUUGAACUCGCUGUGAAGAUGCAGUGUACCCGCGGCAAGACGGAAAGACCCCGUGAACCUUUACUAUAGCUUGACACUGAACAUUGAGCCUUGAUGUGUAGGAUAGGUGGGAGGCUUUGAAGCGUGGACGCCAGUCUGCGUGGAGCCAACCUUGAAAUACCACCCUUUAAUGUUUGAUGUUCUAACGUUGGCCCCUGACCGGGGUUGCGGACAGUGUCUGGUGGGUAGUUUGACUGGGGCGGUCUCCUCCCAAAGCGUAACGGAGGAGCACGAAGGUUAGCUAAUCCUGGUCGGACAUCAGGAGGUUAGUGCAAUGGCAUAAGCUAGCUUGACUGCGAGAGUGACGGCUCGAGCAGGUGCGAAAGCAGGUCAUAGUGAUCCGGUGGUUCUGAAUGGAAGGGCCAUCGCUCAACGGAUAAAAGGUACUCCGGGGAUAACAGGCUGAUACCGCCCAAGAGUUCAUAUCGACGGCGGUGUUUGGCACCUCGAUGUCGGCUCAUCACAUCCUGGGGCUGAAGUAGGUCCCAAGGGUAUGGCUGUUCGCCAUUUAAAGUGGUACGCGAGCUGGGUUUAGAACGUCGUGAGACAGUUCGGUCCCUAUCUGCCGUGGGCGCUGGAGAAUUGAGGGGGGCUGCUCCUAGUACGAGAGGACCGGAGUGGACGCAUCACUGGUGUUCGGGUUGUCAUGCCAAUGGCACUGCCCGGUAGCUAAAUGCGGAAGAGAUAAGUGCUGAAAGCAUCUAAGCACGAAACUUGCCCCGAGAUGAGUUCU
rnacentral:rRNA from 1 species